rnacentral:rRNA from 1 species
UACGAAGGGGGCUAGCGUUGCUCGGAAUUACUGGGCGUAAAGGGCGCGUAGGCGGACAGUUUAGUCAGAGGUGAAAGCCCAGGGCUCAACCUUGGAAAUGCCUUUGAUACUGGCUGUCUUGAGUACGGGAGAGGUGAGUGGAACUCCGAGUGUAGAGGUGAAAUUCGUAGAUAUUCGGAAGAACACCAGUGGCGAAGGCGACUCACUGGCCCGUUACUGACGCUGAGGCGCGAAAGCGUGGGGAGCAAACAGG